rnacentral:rRNA from 1 species
UACAGGGGGUGCAAACGUUGCUCGGAAUCAUUGGGCGUAAAGCGCACGUAGGCGGUUUGUUAUGUCGGAUGUGAAAGCCCUUGGCUCAACUGAGGAAGUGCAUCCGAAACUGGCAAGCUAGAGUACUAAAGAGGGUCGCGGAAUUCCCGGUGUAGAGGUGAAAUUCGUAGAUAUCGGGAGGAACACCGGUGGCGAAGGCGGGUCUCUGGGCAGUAACUGACGCUGAGGAGCGAAAGCGUGGGGAGCGAACAGG